rnacentral:misc_RNA from 1 species
GAACUGCGAUAAGUAAUGUGAAUUGCAGAAUUCAGUGAAUCAUCGAGUCUUUGAACGCACAUUGCGCCCCCUGGCAUUCCGGGGGGCAUGCCUGUCCGAGCGUCAUUGCUGCCCUUCAAGCCCGCCUUGUGUGUUGGGUCGUCGUCCCCUCCGGGGGACGGGCCCGAAAGGCAGCGGCGGCACCGCGUCCGGUCCUCGAGCGUAUGGGGCUUUGUCACCCGCUCGAUAAGGACCGGCCGGGCGCCAGCCGGCGUCUCCAACCCUUUUUUCUCAGGUUGACCUCGGAUCAGGUAGGGAUACCCGCUGAACUUAAGC